rnacentral:rRNA from 1 species
UACAGAGGUCCCAACCGUUGUUCGGAUUCAUUGGGCGUAAAGGGUGCGUAGGCGGCGGGGCAAGUCAGGUGUGAAAUCUCGGGGCCCAACCCCGAAACUGCACUUGAUACUGCCUUGCUCGAGUACUGGAGAGGAGACUGGAAUUUACGGUGUAGCAGUGAAAUGCGUAGAUAUCGUAAGGAAGACCAGUGGCGAAGGCGAGUCUCUGGACAGUUACUGACGCUGAGGCACGAAGGCCAGGGGAGCAAACGGG